rnacentral:rRNA from 1 species
GUGUCAGCAGCCGCGGUAAUACGAAGGAUCCAAGCGUUAUCCGGAUUUAUUGGGUUUAAAGGGUGCGUAGGCGGGUUAUUAAGUCAGUGGUGAAAUCUUGCAGCUUAACUGUAAAAUUGCCAUUGAUACUGAUGACCUUGAGUACGUUUGAAGUGGGCGGAAUAUGUCAUGUAGUGGUGAAAUACUUAGAGAUGACAUAGAACACCGAUUGCGAAGGCAGCUCACUAAACCGUAACUGACGCUGAGGCACGAAAGCGUGGGGAUCAAACAGGAUUAGAUACCCUGGUAGUCC